UGGGGAAUAUUGGACAAUGGGCGAAAGCCUGAUCCAGCCAUGCCGCGUGAGUGAUGAAGGCCUUAGGGUUGUAAAGCUCUUUCAGUAGGGAAGAUAAUGACGGUACCUACAGAAGAAGCCCCGGCUAACUUCGUGCCAGCAGCCGCGGUAAUACGAAGGGGGCUAGCGUUGUUCGGAUUUACUGGGCGUAAAGCGCACGUAGGCGGAUUGUUAAGUCAGAGGUGAAAUCCUGGAGCUCAACUCCAGAACUGCCUUUGAUACUGGCAAUCUAGAGUCCGGAAGAGGUAAGUGGAACUCCUAGUGUAGAGGUGGAAUUCGUAGAUAUUAGGAAGAACACCAGUGGCGAAGGCGGCUUACUGGUCCGGUACUGACGCUGAGGUGCGAAAGCGUGGGGAGCAAACA
rnacentral:rRNA from 1 species